GCCAGCUUCAACAGCGCACAUACUCAAAUUGGAAUGAUACAGAGAAGAUAAGCAUGACCCCUGCACAAGGAUGACGCACAAACUCAAAAAACUCCAGCAAACAUC